rnacentral:sRNA from 1 species
GAUUGAGCUGAAUGUCCCGAUCCUGCCAAUGUCUGGACAGGAGUUUGCAGCUCUGACGAAGGAGCUGAACUUAUGUCGGGAGCAGCUGCUGGAGAGGGAGGAAGAGAUUGCAGAGCUGAAGGCGGAACGGAACAACACGCGGCUGCUCCUGGAACACCUGGAGUGCCUGGUGUCCAGGCACGAGAGGUCACUGCGCAUGACCGUGGUGAAGCGCCAGGCCCAGUCCCCGGGUGGGGUCUCCUCAGAGGUAGAAGUGCUCAAGGCUCUAAAGUCUCUCUUCGAGCACCACAAGGCCCUGGAUGAGAAGGUCCGGGAGCGGCUGCGGAUGGCGCUGGAGCGCGUGGCAGUGCUCGAGGAGGAGCUGGAACUGAGCAAUCAGGAGACUCUGAACCUUCGAGAACAGCUGUCUAGGCGGCGGUCAGGGCUGGAAGAGCCGGGCAAGGAUGGGGAUGGGCAGACUCUUGCCAAUGGCCUGGGUCCUGGCGGGGAUUCCAACCGGCGCACAGCAGAGCUGGAGGAGGCCCUGGAGCGGCAGCGCGCUGAGGUGUGCCAGCUGCGGGAGCGCCUGGCAGUGCUGUGCCGUCAGAUGAGCCAGCUGGAGGAGGAGUUGGGCACCGCGCACCGUGAGCUGGGCAAGGCAGAGGAAGCCAACUCCAAGCUGCAGCGCGACCUCAAGGAGGCGCUGGCGCAGCGGGAAGAUAUGGAGGAAAGGAUUACGACGCUGGAGAAGCGCUACCUGAGCGCCCAGCGCGAGGCCACGUCUCUGCACGACGCCAACGACAAACUGGAGAACGAGUUAGCUAGCAAGGAGUCGCUGUAUCGGCAGAGUGAAGAGAAGAGCCGUCAGCUGGCCGAGUGGUUAGACGACGCCAAGCAGAAGCUGCAGCAGACGCUGCAGAAAGCGGAGACCUUGCCCGAGAUAGAGGCGCAGCUGGCGCAGCGCGUGGCGGCCCUCAACAAGGCUGAGGAACGUCAUGGGAAUUUCGAGGAGCGGCUUCGGCAGCUGGAGGCCCAGCUGGAAGAGAAGAAUCAAGAGCUGCAGCGGGCCCGGCAGCGGGAGAAGAUGAACGAUGACCACAAUAAGCGGCUGUCCGAGACGGUGGACAAGCUGCUGAGCGAGUCCAACGAGCGCUUACAGCUUCACCUCAAGGAGCGCAUGGGGGCGCUGGAGGAGAAGAACUCUCUGAGCGAGGAGAUAGCCAACAUGAAGAAGCUUCAGGAUGAGUUGCUGCUAAACAAGGAGCAGCUCUUGGCGGAAAUGGAGCGGAUGCAGAUGGAGAUCGACCAGCUGCGGGGGAGGCCACCAUCCUCCUACUCCAGGUCUCUCCCUGGCAGUGCCCUGGAGCUCCGUUACUCUCAGGCACCCACAUUACCUUCUGGUGCCCACCUGGAUCCCUAUGUGGCUGGCAGUGGUCGGGCAGGCAAGAGGGGCCGCUGGUCAGGGGUCAAGGAGGAGCCCUCCAAGGAUUGGGAGCGGUCUGCCCCUGCAGGCUCCAUACCACCCCCGUUCCCUGGGGAGCUGGACGGCUCCGAUGAGGAGGAGGCAGAGGGGAUGUUUGGGGCUGAGCUGCUGUCCCCCAGUGGGCAGGCCGAUGUGCAGACGCUGGCUAUCAUGCUUCAGGAGCAACUGGAGGCCAUCAACAAGGAGAUCAAAAUCAUGUCCCUAAGGAGGAAGCUGGAGCUCCACGAGGGGAGGGGCCGGCCAUCCCAGGAGACACCCCACCACCCACUCCCCGCUCUGCCCGUCUUGAGAGAAUGACCCAGGCCUUGGCGCUGCAGGCAGGGUCCCUGGAAGAUGGGGGACCCUCACGGGGAAGUGAGGGCACCCCAGAUUCCCUGCACAAAGCCCCCAAGAAGAAGAGCAUCAAGUCAUCCAUAGGCCGUCUCUUUGGCAAGAAAGAGAAGGGACGAAUGGGACCCCCAGGCCGGGACAGCUCUUCUCUGGCUGGAACACCUUCAGAUGAGACACUGGCCACUGACCCUCUGGGGCUAGCCAAGCUGACAGGCCCAGGAGACAAGGACCGAAGGAACAAGAGGAAGCAUGAACUCCUGGAGGAGGCCUGCCGCCAGGGCCUACCUUUUGCUGCCUGGGACGGGCCCACCGUGGUGUCCUGGCUGGAGCUGUGGGUAGGCAUGCCUGCCUGGUAUGUGGCCGCCUGCCGGGCCAAUGUCAAGAGCGGUGCCAUCAUGGCCAACCUGUCAGACACGGAGAUCCAGCGCGAGAUCGGCAUCAGCA